UUUCCUGGUUUUGGAAUUAGGGUUUGGUUUUCUCCUUCAAGAGCUCGAGGUAGAAGCUUGGGACGUUUCACAAUCGACGCCAUGGACGAGGACCAGCAGUAUGAGCGCCUCUCGAUGGACGCCGACUACGAGGGCGGCCAGUUUAUCGGCGGGGAGUUCUAUUAUCAGCGGCGUACGGAGCGGCGGCAUCAGAGCAAGGAUGAUGCCAUCUAUGGCUCUUUCAUUGAUGCCGACUCCGAUUCCGAUGACGGUGGCUCUCGAAAGCGCCGCCGUGGCGACCUCAUCUCUGAGAAGGCUGACCUUACGAAGCCUGUUCAGUUCGUCUCCACUGGCACCGUCAUGCCCAGCCAGGAGAUUGUACGGAAUCUUGAGGAGAUUGAGGCCGCUACGGCUUUGGAGACGAACCAGGGACAGGGGCUAGGUUUCGGUGGUGAUCCAGAGAAGAAGGAAGGCAGGGAGGAUGAUGAGGAUUUCUUGCCGACGGCGUUUGGGAGGAAGAUCAAGGAGGGAGCGCAGCGGAGGGUGAAGGAGAGGGAAAAAUUGAGAUCGAUGAAGAAAAGCCCUGGGAGGAGGGAUGCUGGAGGAGCAAUGCAGAAUGUCGGGAAGUUUGAGAGUCAUACGAAGGGGAUUGGUUUGAAGCUUAUGGAGAAGAUGGGGUAUAAGUUUGGUGGUGGAUUAGGGAAGAACGAGCAGGGGAUUGUCGCUCCAAUUGAGGCUAAGCUACGGCCUAAGAACAUGGGAAUGGGGUUUAAUGACUACAAAGAAGCUAAAUUGCCUGCUUUGGAUGAGACCCUGGAAGAGAAAUCAGUAGCACCUGCUGUUGUUGGUCGGCCAAAGGAGAAGAGGUGGUUGAAGAACAAACAAGGAAAGAAGAAAGCUGAGUAUAUGACUGCCGAGGAGUUGCUUGCCAAGAAGCAGGAGCAGGGUUUGGAGGUUGUCCAGAAGGUGCUCGAUAUGAGAGGUCCGCAGGUUCGGGUUUUAGUUAAUUUAGAGAGUUUGAAUGCGGAGGAGGAGGCAAAGGAAAACCAAGUGCCAAUGCCUGAGCUCCAGCACAAUGUGAGGCUGCUCGUGGACUUGGCUGAGGCUGAUGUACAGAAGCUGGAUCGGGAUCUAAGGAGGGGGAGGGAGAAAGUUGCAAGCUUGCACAGUGAGAAGGAGAAGCUUCAGAAGGAGGCUGCCCGGCAGAAGCAGCAGCUGGAAGUGAUGGAAACUAUUGUUGAAAUUCUUGGACAGACUGAGGAGGAGAGCUUGUCAGGUUCAUUGACAUUGGAUUCCUUGCUGAAGACCUUUAGUGGAUUGAAGGAUCGGUUUGAGGAUGAUUACAAGCUUUGCAACCUUUCAUGCAUUGCAUGCUCAUAUGCAUAUCCAUUGCUCAUUAGAGUGUUCCAGGGGUGGGAGCCGCUUCAGAAUCCAUUGCAUGGUGUUCAGCUCAUGUCUUCAUGGAGGGAUUUGCUGCAGGGGGGGCAACCUUAUGAUUACUCGGAUAGUGCAUCAGCUGCUUUGCCUUACACGCAACUUGUCAGUGAGGUAGUUUUACCAGCAGUGAGGAUUUCAGGGACUAACACAUGGCAGGCAAGAGAUCCAGAGCCAAUGCUCCGGUUUUUGGAAUCAUGGGAUAGAUUGCUACCUCCACCUGUUCUUCAGUCAAUUCUUGAGCAUGUCAUUAUGCCAAGGCUGUCUUCCGCCGUGGAGUUGUGGGAUCCUCGCAGGGAAACCGUUCCCAUUCAUGUAUGGAUACAUCCUUGGCUUCCUCUUUUGGGCCAAAGACUGGAUGUCUUGUACCAUACAAUUCGGUUUAAGUUGGGUAAUGUUCUCCACGCCUGGCAUGCUAGUGAUUCAUCAGCUUAUGCGAUCCUCUCUCCAUGGAAGGAUGUCUUUGAUGCUGCAAGUUGGGAGCAGUUAAUUGUUAGAUACAUAGUCCCGAAGCUUAUGAGUGCCUUGGAAGAGUUUCAGAUAAACCCUGCUAACCAAAUCCUGGAUCAAUUUAAUUGGGUAAUGAUGUGGGCAUCUGCCAUCCCAAUCCAUCAUAUGGUUACCAUGUUGGAGGUACAAUUUUUCCACAAGUGGAAGGAAGUUUUGUAUCGCUGGCUCUUGUCAAAUCCUGAUUAUAAUGAAGUUAUGAGGUGGUACCUAGGCUGGAAGGGGCUUUUCCCUCCAGAGUUGCUUGCUAAUGAGCAAAUUCGUAAGAGGUUAACAGAGGGGCUUGAUAUGAUGAACCAAGCUGUGGAAGGUGUCAAGGUUGUCCAGCCUGGAGCUCGAGAACAUGUCAGCUAUUUGCGCGUCACUGAAAAGAGGCAUUUUGAGGCCCAGCAGCAGGCAGCUGGAUAUGCGUCGUAUCAGCAUCCUCCAGCAUCUAGCAAUGGGUAUCAUAUGGAUGCUACUGAGAAUGCUCCACAGAUGAGUUUUAAGGAGAUGAUAGAGGCCUAUGCAGCAGAACAAGGUUUAGUGUUUAUACCAAGACUUGGUAGAUCAUACAAUGGCCUGCCUGUGUAUGGAUUUGGAAAUGUUAGCAUUUGUAUAGACUCUGUGAAGCAAUUGCUUUUCGCACAAACUCAGGAGGGAUGGGGUGCUGUAUCUCUAAAGCAAUUGCUGGAGAUGCAUCAUAGGGUUGGUCGUCACUGAAAAAUCUUCCUUGAUGUUCUGGUACUCUGUUGACAUCUUGUAAUCAUUCUUAAGAAAUAAGAAGGGGAUAGCAUUCUGCAGCCAUUUCCUGUUGAUGCUGUUCUCAAAGAUAUAGCACAACAAGGUAUGGAAGCCUGGGAAACAAUGAUAUCAGGUGCUACAAAGCUCAUCAGUACAGACAUGCAGGUACUGCACAGAGGUUCAAGUUGGCCCUUGGGGACACCGAGCAAGGAUUUGCCAGGCAUACAAGCACCAGAUGAGGAAUGGCCAGUAUGCAUGGCAGGAAGCCACCAUCAUGUCAAAGAACUCAAGUGCUAUGGUAAGCUGCUUGCAGCAAUUGAACUGUUUUCUUGGACCGGUGCUUCUUUCGGUAUGAAUUAUGCUGGGUUAAUGAGGGGGAGAUGUGGCAGUUCCAGAUUGAGUGGAGAACUGAGCCAAGUUGCCUUUAGAUGCAAAUCAAGCACGUGACAUUAUAUAGUUUUUGUUGUUCAGCACCUAAAUACAGGCUCGAAAUUCUUCAAUGUCAAGAGCUUUUGUUCUUCAAUGACUAAAUGCACAUCUUGGUUAAGAAGAGUUGCCUUUUCUUGGUUCUUUUUCCAGAUGCUGGAAAUGCUUGAAUGUGUUUUUGUUUAUCAAGUUCCAAAUACAAGUCAUAGUCAGAGAUAUUGCCAGGUUUUUUUUUUAAUUUUAUUAUUUUAUUAUUUUUUUUGUUUUUUUUAUAUGUAGAACCCAUUCAUUAAUGUUGAGGCUACUCACACCAGCUUGCACAAAAUGUUUUUAUGGAAAUAUUCUUCAAUGUUUCAAGCACAUCCAACUCAAGUUCAUAAACGAACUACAAUUUCAAAUCAGACACGCACCUCACAUUUAUGAAGAUUUAAGUUAAUCAUGCCUUUUUUUAAAAAAGGAAAAUACAGAACCAGCUCUCAUUUCUAGUUCCUUGUCUAUCUUACAAUACAUUUCAAACAACCUUAAACAAACCAUUAUUGCAAACAAUAAAAAUAAAAUGACUAUAGUCAUAACUAGGAAUCGAAAUGAGAACCACCCAAGAAAAACCAAGCAUACAAAAAUAUUACAAACACAACUCAAACAAAGAUUGCACCAGGAACAA